rnacentral:rRNA from 1 species
UGAACGCUGGCGGCGUGCCUACUACAUGCAAGUCGAGCGAACAGACGAGGAGCUUGCUCCUCUGACGUUAGCGGCGGACGGGUGAGUAACACGUGGAUAACCUACCUAUAAGACUGGGAUAACUUCGGGAAACCGGAGCUAAUACCGGAUAAUAUAUUGAACCGCAUGGUUCCAUAGUGAAAGACGGUUUUGCUGUCACUUAUAGAUGGAUCCGCGCCGCAUUAGCUAGUUGGUAAGGUAACGGCUUACCAAGGCAACGAUGCGUAGCCGACCUGAGAGGGUGAUCGGCCACACUGGAACUGAGACACGGUCCAGACUCCUACGGGAGGCAGCAGUAGGGAAUCUUCCGCAAUGGGCGAAAGCCUGACGGAGCAACGCCGCGUGAGUGAUGAAGGUCUUCGGAUCGUAAAACUCUGUUAUUAGGGAAGAACAAAUGUGUAAGUAACUAUGCACGUCUUGACGGUACCUAAUCAGAAAGCCACGGCUAACUACGUG